rnacentral:rRNA from 1 species
CAGCAGUGGGAAUCUUGGACAAUGGGGCAACCCUGAUCCAGCCAUGCCGCGUGAGUGAUGAAGGCCUUAGGGUCGUAAAGCUCUUUCGCCUGUGAUGAUAAUGACAGUAGCAGGUAAAGAAACCCCGGCUAACUCCGUGCCAGCAGCCGCGGUAAUACGGAGGGGUUAGCGUUGUUCGGAAUUACUGGGCGUAAAGCGCGCGUAGGCGGAUUAGUCAGUUAGAGGUGAAAUCCCCAGGGCUCAACCCCUGGAACUGCCUUUAAUACUGCUAGUCUUGAGUUCGAGAGAGGUGAGUGGAAUUCCGAGUGUAGAGGUGAAAUUCGUAGAUAUUCGGAGGAACACCAGUGGCGAAGGCGGCUCACUGGCUCGAUACUGACGCUGAGGUGCGAAAGUGUGGGGAGCAAACAGGAUUAGAUACCCUGGUAG